CCUACGGGUGGCAGCAGGGAGGAAUAAUGGACAAUGGACGAGAGUCUGAACCAGCGAAGUAGCGUGAAGGAUGACAGCCCUAUGGGUUGUAAACUUCUUUUAUAUGGGAAUAAAAUGUUCCACGUGUGGGAUUUUGUAUGUACCAUAUGAAUUAGGAUCGGCUAACUCCGUGCCAGCAGCCGCGGUAAUACGGAGGAACCGAGCGUUAUCCGGAUUUAUUGGGUUUAAAGGGCGCGUAGGUGGGUUUGUAAGUCAGUUGUGAAAGUGUGGGGCUCAACCGUAAAAUUGCAGUUGAAACUGGGAGUCUUGAGUACAGUAGAGGUGGCCGGAAUUCGUGGUGUAGCGGUGAAAUGCUUAGAUAUCACGAAGAACACUGAUUGCGAAGGCAGCUCACUGGACUGCAACUGACACUGAGGCUCGAAAGUGUGGGUAUCAAACAGGAUUAGAUACCCGAGUAGUC
rnacentral:rRNA from 1 species